rfam:Ricinus communis cultivar Hale ctg_1100012302287, whole genome shotgun sequence.
GUAUUGGCGGAUGCGGCAUCAUCAAGAUUCACAUAAGCUUUUUUAAUAGUUUGAUCAAUGGAGGAUGAGGGAGGGGUCUCCUUUUGCUCCAAAGAGCUCUCUUUCUUAUAUGAGAAUCUUGAUGAUGCUGCAUCAGCAAAUAU